AUUGAACGCUGGCGGCAUGCCUUACACAUGCAAGUCGAACGGUAGAGUAGCAAUACUCGAGAGUGGCGAACGGGUGAGUAAUAUAUCGGAACGUGCCCAAUCGUGGGGGUUAACGUAGAGAAAUUUACGCUAAUACCGCAUACGAUCUAAGGAUGAAAGCGGGGGAUCGCAAGACCUCGCGCGAUUGGAGCGGCUGAUAU
rnacentral:rRNA from 1 species